rnacentral:rRNA from 1 species
GUCCUGGCUCAGGAUGAACGCUAGCUACAGGCUUAACACAUGCAAGUCGAGGGGCAGCAUGGUCUUAGCUUGCUUAAGGCCGAUGGCGACCGGCGCACGGGUGAGUAACACGUAUCCAACCUGCCGUCUACUCGUUGGACAGCCUUCUGAAAGGAAGAUUAAUACAAGAUGGCAUCAGUGAGUCCGCAUGUUCACAUGAUUAAACGGUAUUCCGGUAGACGAUGGGG